AAGCCAUGGUGAGGACAAGCAUUGAUAGCUUCCAUGUAUCUCUCCCAACAUUCAUAGAAUUUAUCAUUCUCCUUAGCUGAGAAGUUUGAGAUUUGCCUUUUCAAGCU
rnacentral:snoRNA from 1 species